rnacentral:lncRNA from 10 species
UUCCUUACCAAUUCCAGUAGUCUGUAUUGCAGUCUGCUAUAUCAAUUUCCCCCAGUGGAUCAACUCUCCUGGUAUUGACACCAUUGUGUAACCACCUCCCCUUGAAGCUGGGCUGUUCCUCUGAUUUGCUUUAACCAGUAGAAGGUGGAAGAAGUGGAGUUGUGCCAGUUCUGGCCUAAACCUUAAGAGGUCCUGGAAGUCUGCUUUCUGCUCUUGGGAGCCCUGAGCUGCCACAGAAGAAAUCUGUUUGCUGUGCUACAGCGACCAUGUGGAGAGGCCAUGUGGAGAGGGAGGGAACCUGCGACUCCAUGAAGGAGAACUGAAGAUCCAGCCACCAAUGAGAACUGAGGAUCCAGACACAGGACCACAGGCAAGUCAUUCCAGCCACUGCCUAGCCCUUUGAGCCAUCUCACCUGAAGCACCAUCAGACAUGCACAAAGGCUUCUGCUCUAGAACUCCCUUCUUCUUACUCCUGAAAUGUUGGAUGAUGCUAUGGGAAACAGAUGAGUUUGUCCAGGGAACCAUGUGGAGUACGAACAGAGGGAAGGCAAGAAAGGAACUCGUCAAACGGAUCGAAGAUAAGAGAUGGAUGGGCCCGGGACAUCUUCCCCAGUGGCUCUUGUCCACGGGACACCUGGCUUGUACCCACAGAAAGUUGGCUUCCAGCCAUGCUUGAGUGAGAACAGUGAGGGCCCUUGCCUUCCUACAGUGAGUACUCGAUAAAUGAUCACUGCCAUUGUCACAUAAUAAUGUGGCUAUUAUGAUCAUGGACAGAGCAAAAAUAAGUGACUAUUUUUCAAGAGUCUAUUUGGUGUAGACUUCUCCAGAGGCAGAACUGUGGAAUAAAAUUAUUUCUAGUGGUCCCUCCCAGCCCCUUGGCUCCAUAAUUCUCCCACUUUAAUAUGUGACUAGUAAUUAAGAACUAUCUUGAAAUUUUGAUUUCUGGCCCAGAGUCUAUCAUUAUACUUCCAAAUUUUAUUGAGAAAAUAUUUGAAGCCAAAGAGAGAUUUUCAAUUUGUUGACUUUAAAAGAAGCAUUAUUCAUAUUCAUCCAACAAAUAUUC